rnacentral:lncRNA from 1 species
UUGGAAGAUCUUCUAAUUGACAAUCAUAUUGUCUUAGAAGUAUAUAUCCUAUAUAUGUGGGUAAUUGAUAACAUCCAACGAACUAAAUCUUAUACGAGUUCGUUCUUCUCUUAAUGGAGGAAUCCAUUAUCAUAUGAUGCUUCUUUCCUUGAUAUCUUUCAAGGAAACUGUUCUAAAGUGUUACCUUUUCUUGGAUCAAAUCUAAGGAGGUAAAUACUUUAAACAUCUUACUCAUCAAUUUACAUUUCUUGAAUUCUUUGAAACCUUUUGCAAAGUAUUCGGACUUGUGUUUAUUCAAAAUAAAUGAUA